rfam:Pseudomonas sp. BRH_c35 BRHa_1001401, whole genome shotgun sequence.
GAAAUUGUCGUCCUCGGCAGCCAGCAGUGCGUGGAUGAAUUCCUCAGGGAUGUCCUCGAAGUGGAUCGGUGAGCGUCGCAUUUCCCCGAACUCGGCGAUCAGCUUGCCAUCCGCGCUAUAAACCCGCAGCGGAAUUUGAAGCUGUAUGCUCCGCAGGGAAUCGACGGAGGGGAGGUUGGGGCUGAGGUAGAGAAAUGCGCCGCUGAUGCUCAGCAAGAGUGCGCAAAAGACUGCGAAGCACGACCAGAGAAAAAAUUUCAAAAAACGCAUCAGGGUUCUUGGAAUCCAGGAUU